UGAGGAAUAUUGGUCAAUGGGCGAGAGCCUGAACCAGCCAUCCCGCGUGCAGGAUGACGGCCCUAUGGGUUGUAAACUGCUUUUCUGCUCCAAGAAACCCACCUACGUGUAGGUGGUUGACGGUAGAGUAGGAAUAAGCAUCGGCUAACUCCGUGCCAGCAGCCGCGGUAAUACGGAGGAUGCAAGCGUUAUCCGGAUUCAUUGGGUUUAAAGGGUGCGCAGGUGGGAAUGUAAGUCAGUGGUGAAAUACUGCCGCUUAACGGUAGAGCUGCCAUUGAUACUGCGUUUCUUGAGUAUGGUUGAGGUAGGUGGAAUGUGUUGUGUAGCGGUGAAAUGCAUAGAUAUGACACAGAACGCCGAUUGCGAAGGCAACUUACUAAGCCAU
rnacentral:rRNA from 1 species